rnacentral:ncRNA from 2 species
CGAUGAGGUAGAGGCGCAUUUAGCAUUAGUACCCAGUUUGAGGAUGACAACAAUGAGAACUGGUGAAAGGGCUACUUGCCGAAGUGUAACGAAGGGUCCCCUUCCUUACGCUGGUGCAUUCCCAAAUAGAGAAUGUACUGUCAUGCAAACCGAACGUUGGAUUGCAUGAUGCGCUACUGAUCGA